CGGGGCCCUACCAGCACCUUUUCAGCCUCAGCCAGAAACCCUGCUGAACACUCUAAGCGGCCGGCGCCUUUUCCCACGAAGGUCUUCUUAAACAACACUUAGACAAAAGCUGGAAACUAGUUCAGCACAAGGCUGAAAGGUGUCAGUAGCUCAGGAGUGUCCAACUCUUUGUGACCCGAGGCUCCUCUGUCCAUGGGAUUUCCCAGGCUGAACUCAUGGCCAGAUGGAUGCCCUCGAACCUGAGCUCCCGCAUCGCACGCCCCGUCCUCUGUUUCACGCCGCCAUCUGUGUGUCUGGCGGGGCUCUUAGGCUCGGCUGGUCAUAGCUUAGCUCCCGCCCCUCCUCCUGUAAGCCGCUCCUCCUCCAGCGUUCCCCUUUCAGGGUGGAAUAGACGGCAGCACCCGCCACCUUCUCAGUCACUGCACAAGCCGGGAACUUCAGCACCAUCCCUGAGGCCUCCCUCUCUCUUCCGCUUGGAGUCACUCAGAUUUUUGCAUUUGUGUUCAUCAGUGACACUGGCCGGAAGCUCCCAAAUUCAACCAAACAUUUAAAGAAGAGUUAACACCUGUCCUUCUGAAACAGUCCCCAGAAACUGCAGAGGAAGGAACACUUCUGAACUCAUCUUCUGAGGCCUACAUCACUCUGAUACCAAAACCAGAUAAAGGUAUUGCGGAAAAGGAAAAUUACAGCCCAGCACUUUGAAACAGUCUUCUACUGGAUUCCGCGCAUGACGCCUUUUGCUCACACGAAGGCGCAGAAACCGAGCCAGGCGUGGAUGCCCCGACACCAGAGCAGAUUCAGGCGAGGCUUAUCCCAGCCCUGCUGAACCCUCUUCACCGACUCCCUCUGCCCAGGGGGCAUCACUCAAGGCGCCCUGCAGUACCCAAGAGGAUCCGCGCGCCAAGGCCCUGCUGCUCCUGAGGCCCUCUUCCCUCCAACCUCGCCAGACCCGGCCUCCCAGCCUCCGCGGAGCCCUGCUCCUCCGCUGCAGAGGUACCCACUCCUUGGUGGAGACCUGGCUCUGGUCCCAACCACGCUUCCCGGGCCGUGGGACUUUGGGAGAGUCGCUGGACUUCUUGACAUCCUGUUUCUCUACUGGUACGAGGUGGACCUUCGCUCUCCCGACUCCCAGCUCCCCGUAGCUCACCUCACCCAUUCCCCCUAGGGGACAAGAGAACUUCCUGGGGAAAAGUCAGGGCUGCAUUCCAGCUAACAAAUCCAUUCCUCUGCUUUGACUCUGAACCAAAUUCUGGGACCGCAUCAAAGCCAGCCUCCAGGGGCCUGCCUGGGGGCCAUCUGGGCCCCUCGCCCCCCCAAGCCCUCCCCCACUUCAGCUCUGCAGAUGGUGCCGCCUCCCCUCCCCCAGGCAGACCCCCUGUACCCUGCUGAGCUCCCCAUGGCUGAGCCCCACUGGGGUGGAAGUCUUGCUCAUUAAAUUGGGGAAUUG
ensembl:lncRNA